CGCACCGAUUUUUUUUCCUCCCGUUCCGACCCACCUAUCGUCCCACUCGAUUUUCUUUCCCCCCCUACCGCUUUUCUCCCUCACAGUUUUCUCCCUCCUCUGGCUUGCAUCUCACGCCGGCGUCCAGCGCCACCGAUGCCGAUCUCUAGCCUUUGUCCGGCCCAUGGAUCCCGAUGUGGAGCUCCACUGCGGCCCGAUCUGACGUGGGAGCGGCCAGAUCCGUGCGUCUCCGCCUCGCUCCGCGCGCCUCCAUGGUCCGCCGUCUUCUCGAGCGCCGGUGCCGCGCUCAGCCGCCGCCGUCCCAUGCCAUGGUUGCCUCCCUCCAGAACGACCUGCCAUGGCCGCCUCCCUGCCUCUCCCGCAAGUGGGCCUCUGCACGACCAGAUCCGUUCCUCUGCGCCUCGCUCCGCGCGCCAUGAUGGUCCUCCGUCUUCCCGAGCGCCGGCGCCGUGCGCAGCCGCCGCCGCCCCAUGCCAUGGUCGCCUUCCUCCAGAACGCCGUGCCAUGGCCGCCUCCCUGCCUCUCCCGCAGGUGGGCCUCUGCGCCCCCGGCCUAGCAGAUUAAUGGAGGGCGCUGCCGACGUCGGGACAUGCCUCGGUUCACCUGCUUCCUGAUGUCCAAUUAUUUUUUGUUGUUGCUAUAUUCAACCUCAUCUCUGAAAGCCUACACCUUCCUGUGCUGUUGCUAUAUUCACGAGUUUGACAGGAGAAGGGACUGGAGGCAUACAGUAGGCAGAACAGUGGAACAAAACUCAGCUUCAAUUAAUCGACAUGGUGUUCGCAAAUGGAAAGUCGUUCCUGCUGCUACAGUUCAUUGGUUCAAGUCCGACACUGAGCUCACAAUGGACGUUGAGUUGGUGGACACAAUGGACAAUAAGCCCAUGAAGCUCCAGAAGUCCAGAUUUGGAUACGUCUUGGAUGUGACUAAUUGUAUGACAUGCCGAUAUCUGGCGAGCCUGGUGUGUUCUGUUUUCUCACACCCGCCGCCGUCGCACAAGGUGAUUGUUGGACGUGAGCGAGCUUCAGGAGCACUUCCUACAGUUUUACUGAUCUGGACACACCACCUUCUCAGGUCUAAAAUUUUGAGUUUUCAGGUCUAAAAUGUAACUGAUGUAAAGAUUUGUCCAUCCCUUGACAGAAUCCGACUUUUUUUCCAGCUGGUGCACUGAGGGAGGCGUUUGAUGUAGCAAUUGCCUUUAAAAAACAAUGCCAUGAUUGAUUCAUUCCCCACUGUAUGUUCGUCCAGCAGAGGAUGCUCUUCAGUGGAAAAUUCUGAAACCUUAUUCAGCUUUGAUGUAUAGCUGGCACAGUUUGUUAAUAAUCUCUAUGAACAUUUGUACAAAUGGUGACAAAAAAGUUCUUUUAUAACCAUGGAAUCAUGACAUGGAAUGUAUUAUUAAUGUGUAUACCUUCAAUGUGGAUUAUCGAAGACUACUUUCGUUUCAUAUUCAUGCAAAAAACUUCUCCGGGAAUGUUGAAAUUUUUGCUUGUACUGUCUUUUCCUGGAGUCAUUGAAAUAUCCCCUUGCACAGAAAUUUGUUUUCUACUGAAUUUUUGUCAAGAUACUCUGGUACUAACAUUUAACUAUUUUGUAGGAAUGAAGAGCUCAAGGGAGCAAAAGGAACAAGGAGAAAGGAGCGCUCAAGAGAAGUGAACUCAAAGUCCAAGAUGCAAUCUUCACAUAGCUCACAAAUAUUAACCAGUAAACACUACUUGAUUCGUGAUGGCAUUGGACCAGACACACAACAUCCAGUUCUAUAAUAAGUAUAUUCGUGAUUGCAUUGGACCAGACACACGGAGAUGCUCGCUUGUCGUCGAGGAGUGUAGCUUGUAAUCGAAGUUGGCGCUACAAAACUUGUUCUCAAAACCGACAACCAACUUAUGGCGCAGGUUAUUAACUCAGAUGUUAUCGACCGAUCCAGGUUUGGUCCUCUUGUCUAGGAGAUAAAGAAGAUGAUGUGAGGCAUCGACGAGUUCUGAGUGGCUUGGGCCAGGAGAAUAGCAAACAAAGCUGCUCAGAUCUUAGCUAGGGAGGGUUGCCUUUUAAUGCAAAACUUGGUUUAGUGUUUCUACAGAUUGUAUUCAAGAUGUUGUACUGGCGGAUAAUGCCAUGAACUAAAUAAUAACAAGGCAUCAAUUUCCUUUAAAAA